rnacentral:snoRNA from 1 species
GACUGAUAGUGGUAAGGGCAAUUUCUGAGCAUACCCUUAAAUCUCUCCUAAGCUUGGUAGAGAUUCUCUCCUUUCUUCUGUCUAAAGCUUAAGAUCUCGCUUCUCAAGUG